rnacentral:rRNA from 1 species
CACGUAGGGGGCAAGCGUUGUCCGGAUUUAUUGGGCGUAAAGAGCUCGUAGGCGGCUUAGUAAGUCGGGUGUGAAACCUCCAGGCUCAACCUGGAGACGCCACCCGAUACUGCUGUGGCUAGAGUCCGGUAGGGGAGCGUGGAAUUCCUGGUGUAGCGGUGAAAUGUGUAGAGAUCGGGAGGAACACCGGUGGCGAAGGCGGGAUCCUGGGCCAGUACUGACGCCGAGGAGCGAAAGCGUGGGGAGCAAACAGG